rnacentral:lncRNA from 1 species
AAAAACGUACAUUUAAUUCAAGCUAUAUCAAUCACUCUCAGUAAAGAGGCGCAUGAUGGAUUAAGAAAUAAUAAUUAUAUUUGAGAGAAAAAUAAUGAUGUAAUAUUCAACACAUAAAUUCCUAACAAUUCCAAAUAUUAGCAUUCAAAUGUCACAAAAAUUCUUAAAACUUUUAUCCCAAAACAAUGCAAAUUGAAAACUAAAAAAGUUUAAAUUACUUGAAUAUUUUUCUCAGUUUCUCCCUCUAAGUUCUCUGCGAUUGCUUCUGCUUUAGCUUCCCCGUCAUCAAUCGGUUCACUCCAGUUAUGCCUUCCACCAGAUUGCUUCGAGUCGCGCUCAGCUUCUGCGUCACUGCCAGUCGCUCCACCAGUCCCCUCUUCCGCCAAACUUUCUCUCUCUAGCUCCCAUCUCUCUGUCUAUAAUCAGAUCUCUUUUUCUCCUAUUUUCUUCUGUCAGAUCUCCUCGCCACCAUUCUCUACUUCUAAUCGUGCCUUUUGUAGGUGGCAGGAGGUAGGUUAGGUAUCUCGCGCGCCUCCUGCCUUUCCUUUUUCUGGCAAGCAUUUCCCUUUUAUUUGGGUCUUUCCCUCUUCUGCUUUCUAUAAUUUUUUUUUUUACGUUCGUCAAAACGGCAUCGUUUGGUGUCUGGUUCUCAGACUCAAAACAACGACGUUGGGCUGGACUUCACGGGUUUGUUGGGCUUCUUUCUCUUUUCUUCUUCAAU